UGGAAGUUCGCGUACUGAAUCGUUCUUUAAGUAAGAAAGCAAAAAUAUAAGGUCUCCGUUGGUUUAUUUUAUUUUUUUUUUUUUCUUUUUGAAAAAAAUUAAGUGUUUUAAAAAAUUAAAAUAAAAUUUUUUUGGAAACAAAAAAAAAAAAAAAAAUAGAAAAAUAAACAAGAAAAUAAAAAUUUAUUAAUAAUUAAAAUUAUGAAAUUAUUUUAAUAAUUCUAAAAAAUAAAAGAGAAGUAGUCCUGACUCCUUAAGUCGUCAUAAAAUUCUAAAAUUUAUUUUCUUUUUUUUGUUUUUUUGAAAUUCUGUUAUACUAAAUUCGUAUUCGUGUGUUUAUGUAAUAAUUUUUUGUUAUAAUAUCUAUUUUAUGUACUCAUACAUUUUACGUAUUGGUAUAUUAAAAAUUUAAAGAGUUGCAAAAUAAGCAAAAAAAAAAUAUGUACUUGAAUUAAAGAAAAAAAUGUUUAGGGUUAAAGGAAAAAAUUCUUAAAAUUACAAAAAAAAAAAAAAUUGUAAUGUAAAGCAAAUCCGUUUGUAUGACAGUAAAGAAAAAAAAAAUAUAAAAAUUUUAAAAAUUAUUUUAUUAAAUUUAAAAAAAUAACAAAGAGAGCAGUAAAAAUUAACACCAAAAUAAAUUUUAAUUAAAUUUAGAAAAAUAUGUGAAUUCCAAGAAGAAAUGGAAAAAUAAAAAAUUUGAAUUAAGAAAAAUUUUUAAAUUUUGAAAAACAUUUUUGAAAAACAAACUAAGAAUUUUAUAAUUUAUUUGAAAAGAAAACUUAAAGGAAAAUGAAAAAAGAGGAAAAAUUAUUAUUAAUUACGAGCCCCUAAAAAUUUUUCCGAAAAUUCUGAUGAACAUAAAUCAAUUUCCAACCAUAAUUUUAAAAUAUCGAAAUUGUGUAUAAUCGAAAAUUAAACAUCAAACCUGGAACCAUCAUUAUAAUCAAAAUGUAUGUGUUAGGUAAUUGAAUAAUAAAAUCCUUUAAAAAUGAUCUAAUAUUUUGGUCCGAAAACGGAUUUAAAAAUAAUUAAAAUUCUAUAUUCAAAAUUUUUUUAUCUACAACUGGGUAAUUUUUCAUUGUCGUAAGGAUCUUGCUAAAAAUUUUCAAAAAUUCAAUUAAAAAAUCCUUUUUACCUCUGAUUGUUUUUCGGCCGGGAAAUCCCAAUUUAAUAUACCACAAAUAUACAAUUUUCUAAAACAAAUUUUCAUUUUCAAUAAUAUUUUUUAUAUUAUUAAAAUAAUAAAUUAAAAAAAAAUUUAUUUAUUUUUAGAAAAAAAAACAAAAACAAUAAUUUCCAUUUAAAUAUCAAAGUGAUUAUUUACUCCUAGAAAGAAAAACAAAUAAAAUUCAUUUUUUGAAUGAAAAAUUGCAAAAAAAAACAAAGUGUUCAAUUACAAUUUGAAUUUGUUUUCGAUAAAAAAUAAGUAAACAAUAACCUCAAUUUUUUUGUUCUAAUUCAUUUUCAAUACGAAAUUAUUUUAUUCUUCUUUUAUAUUCGAAAUAAAAAUAUUGUAAUUAAAAAAUAAUUUUAAUAAAUAAAUUUAAAAACUAAAACAAGGAUUAAACAACUUAUACUGCCCAUUGAAAAUCAAAUAAAAUAAAAAAUAAUCAAAAAUUAAAACGAAAAUUCUUGAAAAUUAUUGAAAAUUGUUAUUUAAAAAUAAAAAUAGUAUUAAAAUAAUUAUUAAAAUAAAUAAAAAAAAUUUUAAACAAAAUUAUUUAAAAAUUAGGAAUUUAUUGUUAAUAAAAUCUGAAAAUUCAUAAAUAAUUUCAAAUAAUUCAUAAGAAAACUUGAAAACUAAAGAAGAAUAAAUUAAUAAUUAAAUAAUUAAUUAAAUAAAUAAUUAAAUUAAGAAAUUACAAAUUAAAAAAUAUUCAAAAAAAAAUUCACUUUAAAUACCGAAAAUUUUUAAUAAUUAAAUUUUAAACAAUUCCAAUUUCGUAAAUCGAAAAAAUUAAUUCGUGCUCCCUCGUCCCCCACCUCGUCCCAUAAACUUUAAAAAAAAUUAUAAGUGCAAAAUAUGUUCAACACAAUUUUAUUAAUAAAAUAAUUCAAUUAAAAAUAAUAAAUUCCAAAAAUCUAUUUAAGAAUUUAAAUAGUAUAAAAAAAUUAUUGAAAAAAAAAAUUAUGAAAAAAAUUUGUGAAAAUUUUAUUAUAAAAACAAAAAAAAAUUAUAUCAAAAAAAUACCAACAAAAUGUUCUUCUUAUUGUGGUGCUAUUUAACAAUUAAAUAAUAAAAAAAUAAAAAAAAUUCAACAAAUUCAAUAUAAUAAAAAUAAAAAAUAAAAAAUUUUUGAAAAAAAAAUAAAAUUUUUUCAAAGAAAUUCUUAUAUACCGGAAAAAUAAAGCAGAGAGCAACAAUUUAUUCUUUUUAUUUAAAAUGAGUAA